rnacentral:rRNA from 1 species
AUUGAACGCUGGCGGCGUGCUUAACACAUGCAAGUCGAUCGGUAACAGGUGUAGCAAUACAUGCUGACGAGAGGCGGACGGGUGAGUAAUGCUUGGGAAUCUGCCUAUUAGUGGGGGACAACCCGGGGAAACUCGGGCUAAUACCGCAUACGCUCUACGGAGGAAAGCCGGGGACCGCAAGGCCUGGCGCUAAUAGAUGAGCCCAAGUCGGAUUAGCUAGUUGGUAGGUAACGGCCUACCAAGGCGACAAUCCGUAGCUGGUCUGAGAGGACGACCAGCCACACCGGAACUGAGACACGGUCCGGACUCCUACGGGAGGCAGCAGUGGGGAAUAUUGAACAAUGGGCGAAAGCCUGAUCCAGCGACGCCGCGUGGGUGAAGAAGGCCUGCGGGUUGUAAAGCCCUUUCAGUGGGGAAGAAAAGCCUCGACCUAACACGUCGGGGUCUUGACGUAACCCAUAGAAGAAGCACCGGCUAACUCUGUGCC